UAAAAAAGCACCGUACAUUAGAGAGGUCAGGGUUUAUUUCUAAAAAUAAGAAGAAGAGAGAGCUUCAAACCUACUUGGUAGUCAUAAAGAGAGAGAGAAAUAACGAUCUUGACAGUGUGAUGUUGGAGAAUCUACCCUAUUGGACGGAUUUUGACCAAAAUUAUUCAAGAAAGGUUGUGUUGCUCCUUUUUUUUUUCUUGUUCUUCUUGUUCUUAGAAUAACCACUCUUUAAGUUUACUUCCAUCAUUGUUUGUAUAUGUUUCAAUUCUGUUCAAUCUCUAAUAAUAUUGUCUAGGAAAGGUUAUAAACCCCUUUGCAAGUAGAGUAGGUCUAUUGGCCGAACCACUAUAAAUCAUUGUGUUGUUCUUUAAUUUUCUAUUUUUGCAUUCUUGUUAAACACUGUCCAACCAUUAUUUCUAUUCUAAAAUUGCUUAAAACACCCCUUAGAUCGCACAAUAAAGUACUAAAUUGGAAGUGCUAAUGUCUUGACAUAAUAACAAUUGGUAUCAGAGCCUUACCCUUUUAGUUUUCUCGCUUUCUUCCAAACUUUUUUGGGUAAAAAGAUUCUGGAAGUUUUUUAGAGUUCGUUUUAUUCUUAAAAUUAGUUUAAAUGUAUUCUUGAUUAGUUUUAUUAAGUUUCCUUUAUUCUUUAUUUUUAAUAGUUUACUACCAAUUUAGUACUUUUUUUUUUCAAGAUAAGUAAAUUUGAGGUGGAGCGUUUUGAUGGAAAAAACAAUUUUGGUCUUUGGAAGAUCAAAAUGUUCACGGUCCUCCGACAACAAAAGGUUGAUUACACACUCAUGGGAUCAAAGGACAUUCCAAAAGUGUAGCUGAGGAGAAUCUUUUGGAAAUGAAUAAGGUAACACAUAGCCUUAUUAUUUUGCAUUUGUCUGACUCAUUACGUAGGCAAAUGAAAACUGAGGAUAUCACCAUUAAGCUUUGGAAUAAAUUGAAAAUUACCUACCAAACUGCAUCAUUAUCUAGUAAAAUAUUUCUUAAAUCUAGGUUCUUUAGUUUUAAUUAAAAUGGAGUCUAGUAAAAGCAUGAAAGAAAAUUUAGAGGAAUUUCAUAGUGUUAUUUUUUAAAUGGAAAAUAUUGGUGAAACUUUCUCUAAUGAAAAUAAUGUUAUAGUUCUUGUGAAUUUUUUGCCUGAUGCAUAUAAUGAUGUUAAAUUCGAAAUGAAAUUUGGUAGGGAUAGUUUAACUAUGGAAAUAACUAUGGUUGCUAUAAGAGUUAAAGAACAAGAAUUGAAAGAAAAUAAAAAGAGCGGUGAAUCUUUGUUUAUCAAAGGAAAGACUGAGAAUAAAAACACAAAACAUAGAAGUAAAAGUAGAGGUAGGUCCAAAUCCAAGGGGGCUAAAAAUAGGAAGUGUUACCAUUGUAAAAAAAAAGCCACAUUAGAAGAUUUUGUCUUGACCUUAAAAAACGUAAGUCAUCAAGUAAGGGGAAAGAGAUUUGUGAUGGGGUAAACAUAAGUGAGAAGUAUAACCACACCAUUAUGGUUAAUACCACUGAUGAAGAUGAUACUUGGAUCUUAGAUUCGAGUUGUUCUUUUCAUAUGACACCUAAUAAAGAAUGGCUAGAAAAUUUCCAAACCGGUAUAGGAGGUAAAGUCAUGUUAGGGAACCGUCACUUUUGUAAUGUAGAAGGUCAAGGAAAUGUUAGGCUUAGACUUCAUGACGAGAAUAUUAGGCUACUAAAUGGAGUUAGGUACGUAACUAAGGUAAAGAGAAACCUAAUUUCCCUUAGCAUGCUUGAUAAGUUAAGGUAUAACGUAAAAUUAGGUGGUGUGCUUAAAGUCAUGAAGGGUAUUAUGAUAGCAAUGAAAGGCAUCCUUAGACAAAUCCUAUAAUCCUUAAAAGGUUCAACAGUCGUCGGGUCAAGUGAUCUAGCUAGGGAAAGUGAACACUCCAAAACUUCUCUUUGGCAUAAAUGCUUAGGUCACAUAAGUGAGCAAGGGAUGAUUAAGUUAGUUAAACAAAAUAUUGUUCCUGAUAUAAAAAUGUAAACCUAGAUAUGUGUGAACAUUGCAUUUAUAGUAAGCACAAGAGAGUUAAAUCUGGAAAUGGUGGUCACUCUACUAAAAGAAAAUUAGAAUAUAUGCAUGCUAACUUACAGGGUCCAUCAAGUAUAACUUCUAAUGGGAGGGAUAGAUAUUUUUUUUUUAUCCAUUAUUGAUGAUUUUCCUACGAAAGUGUGGGGAUUUAUUCUUAAAAACAAAUCUGACACUUUUAAUAAAUUUAUUAAAUGGGUAAAAUAAGUAGAAAACCAAACUAUCCUUAGAAUGAAGAAGCUUAGAACUGAUAAUGGACUAGAGUUUUGUAACAAUGAGUUUAAAAACUACUAUAAGUCUAAGGAUAUAGCAAGACACUUGACCGUUUUAGGAAUACCCUAACAAAAAUGGGACAGUCAAAGGAAUGAAUCAUACCAUAAUGGAAAGAGUAAGGUGCAUGUUUUCAAAUUUUAAGCUUCCUCAAAGUUUUUGAGCUGAAGUUGCUGCAACAACAUGCUAAUAAAUAGAAGUCCAUCCACUGGCAUAGAUCUAAAAACAUCGUAAGAACUUUGGCAAGGUAGUCCCCCCGACCUAUCUCACAUAAAAAUCUUUGGGUGUUUAGCUUAUGCUUAUUUAAAAGAGGGAAAGCUAGAUCCAAGAGCUAAAAAGUAUGUCUUUUUAGGGUAUCUCGAGGGUGUUAAGGGGUACAAGUUAUGGUGCUUAGAAAAAGAUUCAUCCAAUGUCUUAAUAAAUAGAGAUAUGGUCUUUGAUGAAAUUGGUUAUGAAGAAGAAAACAAGUCUAACCCUAAAGACCCCACUAGCAACUUAAAAAACCAUUUUGUCACCUCCCAUAGUUACUUCCCAAGUUAGUGAAGUAGAUGAGCCCAUAGUAGAACAAUAACCUUUACCACCUACUUUAGAUCAAAUACCUAUAGAGGAAGUAGUUGAAGAGGAGGAGGUGGAGGAAAACCAAGAUUUAAUCAAUUAUCAAUUAACUAGAGAUAGGGAAAGAAGGAACAUGGUAGCUCCCACUAGAUAUGAUAUGUUGACGUUAUAUCCUAUGCCUUAGUAUCCACCAAUGAUUUUGUUAAUCAAGAACCACAAUCUUUCAAUGAGGUCAUAAAUAAUGAAAAUAAAGAUAAAUGGUGGGCCACAAUUAAAGAAGAGUAUGAUUCCCUCAUCAAGAAUCAAACUUGGGUUCUAGUUAAUAAACCAUUGGAUGUCAAAACGGUAGGUUGCAAGUGGAUUUAUAAAGUUAAAAAAAAAAACCCUUUAGAAAAUAACAAACCUAGGUUCGAAGCUAGGUUAGUAGUCAAAGGAUUUACACAAAAAGAGGGUAUAGACUAUGAUGAAAUUUUUUCUCUCAUUGUUAGACAUACAUACCUCUAUUCGUAUUUUGCUUGCCUUUGUUACUUACUUUGAUUUUGAAUUAGAACAAAUGGAUGUUAAAACUGCUUUCUUGCAUGGUGAGCUUGAGGAAACCAUUCACAUGGAUCAACCUCCUUAAAAGAUAUUUGUAUGGUUUAAAGCAAUCAACCCACCAAUGGUAUAAAUAUUUUGAUUCUUUUAUGUUAUCCAUUGAUUUUUGUAGAAGUAAGUAUGAUGGUUGUGUUUAUUUUAAACAAACCUCUGAUGCUCAAAUUAUCUUCUUACUCCUAUAUGUUGAUGAUAUGUUGAUUGCUUGUAAAUCUAUGCAUGAGAUAGGUAAGUUGAAAAAUCUAUUAAAGAGGGUAUUUGAAAUGAAAGACUUAGGCAAAGCAUAGGCAUGGACAUUGUUAGAGAUCGAAAAGAAAGGAAAUUAUGUUUGUCUAAAUGUGAUUGUGUAACAAGACUUGUUAAUAAGUUAAACAUGCAAAAUAGUAAAAGGGUUAGUAUACCUUUUGGCAAACAUUUUAAAUUGUCUAUUGAUAAUUCUCCCAAGACUCUUAAUGACAUUCAUGAAAUGAAUGAUAUUCCAUAUGCCAGCUUUGUAGAGAGUCUUAUGUAUGAUAGGUUUGCAUUAGACUUGAUCUUGCUCAUCCACUAAGUGUUGUUGGUAGAUUUCUUGUUAAUCCUGGUAAGUAACAUUAGAAUGUUGUUAAGUGGAUUCUUAGAUAUAUUGCAUGUCACACUGAUCUAUGUCUUGUUUAUGGUGGAGCAAACACAAUUGAGUAGAAAAACAAUGAAAUUGAAGUCAUUGGAUAUGUUGAUGCUGAUUAUGCUGCUGAUAUUGAUAAACGUACAUCUUUGACUGGCUUUGUAUUUUAACUUUUUGGUUGCACCAUAAGUUGGAAAUCUGGUUUACAAUCCAUAGUUGCUUUAUCUACAACUGAUUCUGAAUAUAUUGCAUUAAGUAAAGCUAUUAAGAAAUCUUUAUGGCUUAAAGAUGUUGUCUCUGAAUUAAGUUGUAGUGAUCGUGUUACUAUGACUGUAUUUUAUGAUAGUCAAAGUGCUCUACAUUUAUCUAAAAAUCAUUCUCAUUAUGAAAAAACUAAACAUAUUGAUGUGCAUUAUUGCUUUGUUAUAGAUGUUAUAGAUGAUGGUUUAGUCUCUAUUAAAAAGGCUUCUACUGAAUUAAAUGUUCUACUGAAUUAAAUGUUGCAGAUUAUUUACUAAAGCAUUAUCUUGUGACAAGUUUAACCUUUGUAUGAGAAUGUUGCAGUUUGAUACAGGGUGAUUAUUGUUCUUUUUUGGUGUAUUUCUUUGGGAGCUUUUCUUUGGUUUUAUGAUAAAAUUGAAAUCAAGGUGGAGAUUGUUAUAAAUUGGUUUCAAUUUUAUUUUAAUUUAAAUUAGCAAAAAUUAUAUUAAGUUCAAUUAAUUUAGGUUUAUUGAACUUAAUUAUUUUUUUGAAAGGCUAAUUUAAAUUUAUGUCAUUUAAAGUUCUUCCCAUAAGAUACACACAACUUUUGGGCCAAUUUGUUGAAAUCCCAAAUAACUCAUUCUACCAAUAUGCCAACCCGCGGAGUUGAACACAAGCCCUUUUUAGUCACGGCCAGGACAUUUUACCUUUUUUUUUAUAUGUCCUAUAUAUAUGUAUGUAUGUAUGGACAUGAUGAGCAUUCAUUAAAAAAGCACCAUACAUCAUAGAGAUUAGGGUUUAAUUCUAAAAAUAAGAAGAAGAGAGAGCUUCAAACCUUACUUGGUAGCCACAAAGAGAGAGAGGGAAAGAAGGGUGUGGUUUCUUCAUCUUCUCUUACGUUCUUUUCCUCCAACGAUUCUUUUCUUGGCAACAUUUGGUGAUAUUCCCGCUUCUUUCAUCAUCCAACCUUGGCGGCUUGAAGAUCUUGACAUUGUGGUGUUGGAGAAUCUACCCUAUUGAACGGAUUUUAACCAAAAUUAUUCAAGAAAGGUUGUGUUACUCCUUUUUUCUUGUUCUUCUUAUUCUUAGAAUAAUCAUUCUGUAAGUUUACUUCAACCAUUGUUUUGUAUAUGUUUCAAUUCUAUUCAAUCUCUAAUAAUAUUGUCUACCAAAGGUCUAAAACCCCUUUGCAAGUA